GCUGGAGGCUGGCACCGUGGCCCCUGCGCCCCACGUGGGGCCCUUUCUGGGCUGGGGGGGUGGGGUGGAGGCACAUCCAGAGACGACUCUCCCCCCUCCCCCGGCCCCCGGCUGAUUUGCUGUGCCACUGGGAGGGUUCGGGGGUGGCUGAGCUGAGAGGGCUCCGGGAAGGAGUGACGUCAGGGUGAGUGGGAGCCCAGGAAGGAGCGAGUAGGAGAGAGGGAGGGAGAGCCAGGCAGGACCGCAGGGUCGGGGCUAGUGAGGAGCGAGGGCAAGGAGAGAGCAGUGAGGCCGGAGAGAAAGAAGCUGCCACGGAGGAAGACAGGCUGCGGGUUCCCGGGACUGCAGGUCCAGGCAGGGUAGGAACCGCUGCCCAGGGGAGCUAGGAGGAAGCGGGGAGAGAAAGCGAGCGAAAAGCGGGGGUGGGGAGGAAAGGGGGAGACUGAGGUGGGAGAGAGAAGCAGAGCGAGAGAGAGGAGUCUGCUGGAAGGAGAAAGAAGAGGGUGAGGAGGCGACAGAGGGAGAGGAGGAAGAAGAGGUAGAAGGAGAGAGAGGGGAGAGAGUAAGGAGAGAGGAGGGUUAGAGGCGCAUGAAGGAGGGGAGAGGGAGCUUCAGCGUGGAGAGAGGACCGCGGAAGGAGAGAGAGAGAGCCCAGAGUGGAAUGUGGCAGGGAAACAGUCCAGCGGGGAGCCAGGGGGUAGCCAUGGAAGGGACAGGUGGGGAGCUGGGGGGACAGGGGAACUGGGGUCCGGAGGACGCCCCAGGCCUCUUGGGCAGGGCCUCCCUGAUCAUGCUCCCGUGGCCACUACCCCUGGCCUCCUCGGCCCUCACCUUGCUCUUCGGGGCCCUCACUUCCCUGUUCCUCUGGUACUGCUACCGCCUGGGCUCCCAAGACGUGCAGGCCCUAGGGGCUGGGGGCCGGGCUGGGGGUGUUCGUGGUGGGCCUGUGGGAUGCUCGGAGGCCGGCGGGCCAAGCCCAAAGGGUCCUGGGGAUCCCGGGGAAGGACCUAGGACGGAAGGCCUAGUGAGCCGGCGGCUUCGGGCCUACGCAAGGCGCUACUCCUGGGCUGGGAUGGGUAGAGUGAGGCGGGCAGCUCACGGUGGCCCAGGCCCUGGGAGAGGGCCAGGGGUCCUAGGUAUUCAGCGCCCAGGCCUGCUUUUCCUACCAGACCUGCCUUCAGCCCCCUUUGUGCCGCGGGACGCCCAGCGGCACGACGUGGAGCUCCUGGAGGGCAGCUUCCCUGCCAUUUUGCGGGACUUCGGAGCUGUGAGCUGGGACUUCUCAGGGACUACCCCUCCGCCUCGGGGCUGGUCCCCACCUCUGGCCCCCGGGUGCUACCAGCUCCUGCUGUACCAAGCAGGCCGGUGCCAACCCAGCAACUGCCGCCGGUGCCCGGGGGCCUAUCGGGCACUGAGGGGGCUUCGAAGCUUUAUGAGUGCCAACACCUUCGGCAAUGCCGGCUUUUCCGUUCUCCUGCCUGGGGCCCGGCUCGAGGGCCGCUGUGGGCCCACCAAUGCCCGGGUCAGAUGCCAUCUGGGCCUAAAGAUCCCUCCUGGCUGUGAGCUGGUGGUCGGCGGUGAGCCCCAGUGCUGGGCUGAGGGGCACUGUCUACUGGUGGACGACUCUUUUCUACACACAGUGGCUCACAAUGGCUCCCCCGAAGAUGGGCCUCGAGUGGUCUUCAUCGUGGACCUCUGGCACCCCAACGUGGCAGGGGCUGAGCGCCAGGCCCUCGACUUUGUCUUCGCACCAGACCCUUGAAGGAAGGUGCUCCCUUCACACACCCGGGCUGGAGAGAUACUGCGCUCAGGGACGGCUUGAUGAGUCAGGGUCUUGCUUUGUUGCCCAGGCUGGUCUUGAACUCCUGGGCUCAAGUGAUCCUUCUGCCUCAACCUCCUAAGUAGUUGGGAUUACACGUGUGAGCCACCACGCCCGGCUAGAUACCUCCUAACACAGGCAUCUCCCCGUCCCUCUCCCCAGGAGCCAGCACCAGUUCCUCAACUUAACUUUAUUUCAAUAAUUUAAUAGAAAAUUAAAAUAAUAAAUAAUAUGAAACAGA